ensembl:lncRNA
GAAUCAGAAUUAGCUUUAUUUGCCAGGUAGGCACAAACACACAAGGAAUUUGUUGUGUGUGUGUGUGUGUGUGUGUGUGUGUGUUUAAAGGUGCUCCUGGUAUAUACAUACAUGCAUACAUACAUACACAUGUGCCAUGAGAACAGGAAAAAAAAAAUCAUUUUAAAUAGUAAGACUUAAUAAAUAAUUUGUAUGAAUCUGGAACAGCAGAUUUUUUACAGAUUUGUGCAUUUUUACUCUAUAUAGAAAUGUAUAAACAAAGAAAUAUGCAUAUGUAUUUACAUAAUACUUGAGAAAGAGGCAAUAAUUAAAGUCUCAAAACAGCAAGUAAAUCCAUUUUAAAACUGAUUUAUUGCCUGGUUACUGUUGAGACCCACCUUUUAAAAAGUAACAAAAGACAUAAUAUUUUACACCCAAUAAGAGGACACUCAUUUCCCUGUUUAAGACAUUUUAAUCCAUUUUCUCAGCUCAAAACUCACCGGCGAGUGUUUGAUCAACAUCUGAUUACGAUCUGAUCUGCACUCUGCUUAUAAUAUGAGGCAGAAAUAUAUUUCUAGAUUUAUGUGAUGCUAUUUUAUUUUUUACAUUGUUCUUCAAAAAUACUAGAAAUUGCCUGAUGAACACAGACAAAUCUUACUGUAAUUGUGAAUUUAUUUGUAUUCAUGUUUCAUGUCAUUGUGCCUCUGCUUCUUUGCUGUGAUUCUGGACUUCCUCGUAUCAUAUUUUGUACAUCCGCAUGACAAAACUCCUGUUUUCUGUUUGGGAUUUCAUUUUCGUUUUUGGCUGAAAGAAUAGCAUUAGUGAGACAGGAGAGAGGAAACUUUACUGGAAAAUUAAUAGAAAAAAAGAAAGAUAAUUUUUUUUUGUUAUUGUGACUUCGACAUGAGAAUUUAUCAAUGUAUCUCUAAAUGUGCGCACCUUUGGCCUUAAAGCCCUCAUGGAGUUGAUUUGUGAUCACAUAUAAACGGAAGCAGACGAGACUGAAUAGCAUGGAUCCAGUGGGAGUGAAUUCAAUAGAGACUGCAGCUCUAGGCAGACCCUUCCAGCUGGGGAUGCUGUAUGACUGCAGGAGAGAUGCUCUUGUACCAGGAAUCAGACUUUGUAAAAAAAGAGCAGCUGCAGCAGAACAUACAGGUACUGGCCAUAUAAUUAGAAUAUCAUCAACAAGUUGAUUUAUUUCACUAAUUUCAUUCAAAUGUGAAACUUGUAUAUUAUAUUCAUUCAUUACACACAGACUGAUAUAUUUCAAAUGUUUAUUUCUUUUAAUUUUGAUAAUUAUAACUGACAACUAAGGAAAAUCCCAAAUUCAGUAUCUCAGAAAAUUUGAAUAUUGUGAAAAGACUCAAAACACAUGCAAAUGCCUUUAUGUGGUCUCUCAGUCUU